rnacentral:rRNA from 1 species
GACGAACGCUGGCGGCGUGCUUAACACAUGCAAGUCGAACGGAAAGUCCCUGCUUUUGUGGGGUGCUCGAGUGGCGAACGGGUGAGUAACACGUGAGUUACCUGCCCUUGACUUUGGGAUAACUUCAGGAAACUGGGGCUAAUACCGGAUAGGAGCUCCCGCUGCAUUGUGGGGGUUGGAUAGUUUCGGCGGUUGGGGAUGGACUCGCGGCCUAUCAGCUUGUUGGUGGGGUAGUGGCUUACCAAGGCUUUGACGGGUAGCCGGACUGAGAGGGUGACCGGACACAUUGGAACUGAGAUAAGGCCCAGACCCCUACGGGAGGCAGCAGUGGGGAAUAUUGAACAAUGGGAGGAAGCCUGAUGCAGCAACGCCGCGUGCGGGAUGACGGCCUUCGGGUUGUAAACCGAUUUCGCCUGUGACGAAGCGUGAGUGACGGUAAUGGGUAAAGAAGCACCGGCUAACUACGUG